AAAUUAUCAGACAGGUUUAAUUCAAUUCAUGCCAGGCCCAAUAAAAAGUGUUCCUUUAAUUUUUGUGAGCAGUGCAUGAAGUACAUGAAGACUUCAUGAAUGUCUGCUACUGUGUACAUGCAGACGGCGCUCACACCCCUGAAGAAAAUAGCACUGAAGUUAGAACGCAGACAUCAGCUGCAGACAAGAAGCACCAUGGAGGACAUUCCUUAAGAUUGUAGAAAAUUAACAGCUGUGAGCACAUUUACCACUGUGCUGUCAAACAUGAGUCUCAAAACCAGAGUUGCUGGGUGGAGCACAGCUGUGAUUGACUGAAGACCUUCACCAAGCUGUUUCUUGUGAGGAACCAACAUGCAGAGGCCUGUAUGUGCUGGUGGGACAAAUAAAGGAGACGCACAUCUUCAAUGAAGACAGGAAGCUCAGCAAUCAUCCAGAGCAGCUGGUGUUCAGUGAACUUUGCAGAAGGAGAAGAGAAAAAAAGACAUCUACAAACAUCAAAGAGGCAGCCGGGAGCUCAUGCUUUCAAUCAGAAGCAGACACCCGUCCUCCUUUGGGCUGCAGGACUUUGAGGAGCUGGGGGUCUUCCAGACGUACUCGGCAUGGAGGGAAGACACGGGACAACGCAGGAAAUAUCUGGAUCCAGAGGGAAGGACGAUCGGGCUGUUUUCCACUUUUUCUGAAGGAAAAGAAGGAGAGAUGCUUCAGAUCAGUCUGGAUAAAAGCUUUGAAGCUACAGCAGCCGAUACCAGUUUGACAAACAGGACAAACUGGAGGGCCCUUGCAGAGUUCCUGACAAAUUUAAAGCUGAAUAUGUGGGGUUUUCUCUACUUACUGGUAAAUAUACUGUUCUUAGCUGUCACAUUUACGUGUGUGAAUGUUUUUUUUCCUGUUUGACGUAUUCUCUUGAGGAAAGAGGUGAACAGCAGUCGCAGCUCAGGAACUGCUGGACAGCUAAACCUACCAGAAAGUCACUUCCUUGAACCAAAAACCAAAGGAGUAAGUUGACACACCUGGGAACAGGAAGUGACCCAA